GGGAGCGUGGCGAAACUGGCAGACGCGCGGGUCUUAGGAGCCCGUGGGCGGAAGCCCGUGUGGGUUCAAGUCCCUCCGCUCCCACCA
rnacentral:tRNA from 1 species